rnacentral:lncRNA from 1 species
GCCCUCCACUUAAAGAUACUAUGCCUUUCCUGGCCGCAGUAUCCUCCCUUUUCUCUUUUGGUUAAAAGUGAGCAUUGUAGGGCACAGCCAUGGGCUCAAUGUAAUUAAGAGCUGACACUGAAGCAUAGUUAACGACCACCUCUAAUUUUCUACCCCUGGCCACAGGUGCAAACAUCUCACACCAGUUCCGAUGUUGCUCUUUCCUCGAGUUGCAGGUCUAUGGAAAUGCAGGAUCUAACCAGCCCGCACAGCCGACUCAGUGGUAGUAGCGAAUCCCCCAGUGGCCCCAAACUCGAUAGCUCUCAUAUAAAUAGUACUUCCAUGACUCCGAAUGGCACCGAAAGUUAAAACAGAACCAAUGAGCAGCAGCGAAAUAGCUUCAACAGCAGCAGAC